GGGCGUAAAGAGCUCGUAGGUGGUUUGUCGCGUUGUUCGUGAAAUCUCACGGCUUAACUGUGAGCGUGCGGGCGAUACGGGCAGACUUGAGUACUGCAGGGGAGACUGGAAUUCCUGGUGUAGCGGUGGAAUGCGCAGAUAUCAGGAGGGACACCGGUGGCGAAGGCGGGUCUCUGGGCAGUAACUGACGCUGAGGAGCGAAAGCGUGGGGAGCGAACAGGAUUAGAUACCCUGGUAGUCCACGCCGUAAACGGUGGGUACUAGGUGUGGGUUUCCUUCCUUGGGAUCCGUGCCGUAGCUAACGCAUUAAGUACCCCGCCUGGGGAGUACGGCCGCAAGGCUAAAACUCAAAGAAAUUGACGGGGGCCCGCACAAGCGGCGGAGCAUGUGGAUUAAUUCGAUGCAACGCGAAGAACCUUACCUGGGUUUGACAUGCACAGGACGCCGGCAGAGAUGUCGGUUCCCUUGUGGCCUGUGUGCAGGUGGUGCAUGGCUGUCGUCAGCUCGUGUCGUGAGAUGUUGGGUUAAGUCCCGCGACGAGCGCAACCCUUGUCUCAUGUUGCCAGCGGGUAAUGCCGGGGACUCGUGAGAGACUGCCGGGGUCAACUCGGAGGAAGGUGGGGAUGACGUCAAGUCAUCAUGCCCCUUAUGUCCAGGGCUUCACACAUGCUACAAUGGCCGGUACAAAGGGCUGCGAUGCCGCGAGGUUAAGCGAAUCCUUUUAAAGCCGGUCUCAGUUCGGAUCGGGGUCUGCAACUCGACCCCGUGAAGUCGGAGUCGCUAGUAAUCGCAGAUCAGCAACGCUGC
rnacentral:rRNA from 1 species